rnacentral:rRNA from 1 species
CCUACGGGAGGCAGCAGUGGGGAAUAUUGCACAAUGGGGGAAACCCUGAUGCAGCGACGCCGCGUGAGUGAAGAAGUAUUUCGGUAUGUAAAGCUCUAUCAGCAGGGAAGAAAAUGACGGUACCUGAUUACGAAGCCCCGGCUAACUACGUGCCAGCAGCCGCGGUAAUACGUGGGGGGCAGGCGUUAUCCGGAUUUACUGGGUGUAAAGGGGGCGUAUACGGCAGCACAAGUCUGGAGUGAAAUGCCGGGGCUGAACCCCGGAACUGCUUUGGAAACGGUGCAGCUAGAGUGCAGGAGAGGGAAGUGGAAUGCCUAGUGUAGCGGUGAAAUGCGUAGAUAUUAGGAGGAACACCAGUGGCGAAGGCGGCUUACCGGAUUGUAACUGACGUUGAGGCACGAAAGCGUGGGGAGCAAACAGGAUUAGAUACCCGAGUAGUC